UACGUAGGGUGCAAGCGUUGUCCGGAAUUAUUGGGCGUAAAGAGCUCGUAGGCGGUCUGUCGCGUCUGCUGUGAAAACUCGGGGCUUAACCCCGGGCCUGCAGUGGGUACGGGCAAACUAGAGUGCGGUAGGGGAGACUGGAAUUCCUGGUGUAGCGGUGAAAUGCGCAGAUAUCAGGAGGAACACCGGUGGCGAAGGCGGGUCUCUGGGCCGUAACUGACGCUGAGGAGCGAAAGCGUGGGGAGCAAACAGG
rnacentral:rRNA from 1 species